GUGAUCCGCCCGCCUCGGCCUCCCACAGUGCUGGGAUUACAAGCGUAAGCCACCGCGCCUGGCCCAGUAUAGUGCUUUUUGAAUAGGUAUGUAGCCUUUUGAGUUUGGCUUCCUUUGCUGAGCAUAGUAUACUUGACAUUCACCCAUAUUCUUAUGAGUAUCAGUUGUUUGUUUCUUUUUACUGCUGAGCUGUAUUCCAUUCUGUGGAUAGACCUCAGUUUAUCCAUUAACCAGUUGAUGUACAUUCGGGUUGUUUCCAGUUAUUGUUGAUUUUGAAUAAAGCCACUAUAAACAUGUGCAUAUCAAUUUUUGUGUGAACAUAAGUUUUCCUGUCUCUAUGGUAAAUACUUACGAGUGGGAUUGUCGGGUCACAUGGUAGGUAUAUAUUGAACUUUAUAAGAAACUGCCAAACUGUUUUCCAAAGUGACUGUACCAUUUUGCAUUCCCAUUUGUAAUGAAUGAGAAUUCUAGUUACUCUUCCUGCCAGCACUUGAUAUUGUUAGUAUUACUAGUUUUAUUAUUUUUAGCCAAUAGAUGUGUGUGGUAUUUCACUGGGGUCAAAUUUUUCUGUGUAUAGAAAUAUCCACAGUCCUCUGGGAAAAGCUUCCAUAACUCCAUCAGAUUCUCAAAGGUACACGGCCCAGAAGGUAAAGCAUCAUCAAAUUCAGAGGCUGGAAAAUGAAGGAGUCAGCCAAACACACUGAGAAGACUGGAGAAGAAUUGUGAAAUGUAUAGUCUAUAAUACCAAGUGAGGAAGAAAGCCUGUACCAUGAACUAAGAAUAGGAUGCUGUACUUAGCAAGAGGAUUCCUGGUGAUCUUUGAGAAGCCAGCCAUCUCACUGGAGUGGAAGGGAGGAGAGGUGAAAAAAUAGGGGUGUGCUGGGGUGAAGCAUAAAUGAAAAGUAAAUGGAAGCACCACGUGCAGACCGAGGAAGUAUCAUGAUAAAGAAUAACCCAAAUGUCCCUAUUUUACUAGAAAAAAAUUACUUAUAGGAGUCCUCAGCAGAAGAACUUUUGAUAAUGGUGAGCAAUGUUACCGGUAUUAACAUUAUCUAUUUUAAAAAUCUGUUUUUACUGGCAUUUACUUCAAGUUUCCCUGAGAAGCAAAUUCACUUUACCACUGAUGCCACUAACUUGGCUGACAAGAAAUUUUGGGCACAUAGAGUGUAAUUGUGGCAAUGAGAUCUUUCCCCAAGUACAUGUCCAAGGGUUUUACAACAUGCAAUAAGUGUGCUGUCAGGAAAUUUUACAAGUCAGCUGAUGCGUGCCACAGUGCCACAAUCAUUACCCUUUCCCGUACAGCAUGCUGUCACGCGCAACCUCAGCUAAUCUAUCUGGGCAUUUCUGCCCCACACAAAAAAGAUGAUCACACCGAAAUAAGAAGGAAAUCAGCAUGUGGUCAGUAAGGAUUCACCAAUCUCUUUAGCCCCUGCCUGGAUUACAAGAAAAGCUGCGGAAGGAAAAGAGACAAUAUUUUGGUAAACUUUGACAUGUGCACACAGAGAAUGCUUUUCUUAGUCAUGAUGUAGAAUUUGAAUAUAAGGAUGAUCCAUUCCUGGCUCUUUCUCUCUCUCUGCUCUUUGAAUACAUUGUAGAAACCAGGAAGCAGAAAAGAGAGAUUGUACCACUUUCCCUAUCACUUCUUCUCUAUCAGAUACACACACACACACACACACACACACACGCAUACACACACCCUGCAUCCAUAUUUUGAUUCCUGCUAGUUCAAUGUCUUAUCCUCCACUGUUUUGAAUAAGGUCAUCACAUUAAUGCAGUUUAGAAGACUGAAAAUGUCAUCUUACUUCCUCCCCUUUACUUGUCUUAGAUACUAGAUUCACAAUUACACCUGAACGUGUUACCUAUCAAUGCUAUGCCCUAGACCACUUCACAAAAUAAGUUGUUGCAGCAACUGUGGUCCUAGGAAAAGAAUGUAGACUACGGAGUCAAAAGAGAUGGGUUUGAGUCAUAGCUCUUUCACUUUCUAGCCAUGUGACUAUGAACAAGUUACUAAUUCUUCUGUUGUCUCAGAGUUUUCAUCAAUAAGAUGGAAAAAAAUAGCUCCUAAUUCAUACUUUACUUUGCAUUGGGCAUUCGAACAAGGUCGUGAAAGAACUGUAGAGUUUGACAAUUACUGGACAUUGCUAUCCUCGCUCUCUGCAAAUGUGGAGGCCAGUGUGCCCCUGCUAGCAUGCUAGGAAGGCUGACGGGCCCUGACCGUCUUGUUUUCACUUUGACCCUUCCUCCCUGGGAGCUGCCAUCAGAGCAGCUCUUGAAUGCGAAUUCUAUCCCCUUCUUCUCCCUGCUGUGCCUUCCUUCCAUCUAUCUUCUGGAAACGGACUAAUUCCCAUUGAAAACUGUACUUCUUAACUUGGACAUCCUUACAGCAGGUGAGAUACCAUAUUUGCUGGGCUCUGUCGCUCUUUCUUUAUUAAUUAUGAUUAAGUAUAAUCUUUGCAAAGUAGCCCUUUCCCCCACACCAUCUGCUAUUCCUUUCCCCCAUAGCAUCUAUUUCAGUUAAUGAGUGGGAUACCCUUCAAUGGAGAAUUUAGGGAAGCACUGGUGCAUGUGAACCCCCCUGGGCCAGGAGGAGGAGAAGUGGAUCCCGCUUUCUGACACAUUUCAGGGCAGGUAGUUAUUGUCCUGUUAUAGACUGUCUUUGCUCAACACCAUUAGUCCACAAAUAUUCCCAGUCUCUGUUUAAGCAGUUUUAAAAAUAAAUGUUCUAUCUGCAUUUACUUGAUUAUUGAAUAUGGUUUUUAAAAAAGAUUAUGAGAACAAAAAGCCCUUAUCAUCCAGAGUUUCAGACAAAGCACUGUGUAGUUAGACUCGUAGAAACAGAAAACAUGCCAAGGUGCAAGGUAGAUAAGAUAAGCUAGCUUAUGAGAAGCCAGGACUAAGAUAAUGUCUACAUGAAUCACGGUUUUUCUUGCAGAAUUGGGGCUACAAAUUGC
rnacentral:lncRNA from 10 species